rnacentral:rRNA from 1 species
GACGAACGCUGGCGGCGUGCUUAACACAUGCAAGUCGAACGAAGAGCGAUGGAAGCUUGCUUCUAUCAAUCUUAGUGGCGAACGGGUGAGUAACGCGUAAUCAACCUGCCCUUCAGAGGGGGACAACAGUUGGAAACGACUGCUAAUACCGCAUACGAUCUAAUCUCGGCAUCGAGGAUAGAUGAAAGGUGGCCUCUACAUGUAAGCUAUCACUGAAGGAGGGGAUUGCGUCUGAUUAGCUAGUUGGAGGGGUAACGGCCCACCAAGGCGAUGAUCAGUAGCCGGUCUGAGAGGAUGAACGGCCACAUUGGGACUGAGACACGGCCCAGACUCCUACGGGAGGCAGCAGUGGGGAAUCUUCCGCAAUGGACGAAAGUCUGACGGAGCAACGCCGCGUGAGUGAUGACGGCCUUCGGGUUGUAAAGCUCUGUUAAUCGGGACGAAAGGCCUUCUUGCGAAUAGUGAGAAGGAUUGACGGUACCGAAAUAGAAAGCCACGGCUAACUACGUG